AUGAACGCUGGCGGCGUGCCUAAUACAUGCAAGUCGAGCGAACAGACGAGGAGCUUGCUCCUCUGACGUUAGCGGCGGACGGGUGAGUAACACGUGGAUAACCUACCUAUAAGACUGGGAUAACUUCGGGAAACCGGAGCUAAUACCGGAUAAUAUAUUGAACCGCAUGUUUCAAUAGUGAAAGACGGUUUUGCUGUCACUUAUAGAUGGAUCCGCGCCGCAUUAGCUAGUUGGUAAGGUAACGGCUUACCAAGGCAACGAUGCGUAGCCGACCUGAGAGGGUGAUCGGCCACACUGGAACUGAGACACGGUCCAGACUCCUACGGGAGUCAGCAGUAGGGAAUCUUCCGCAAUGGGCGAAAGCCUGACGGAGCAACGCCGCGUGAGUGAUGAAGGUCUUCGGAUCGUAAAACUCUGUUAUUAGGGAAGAACAAAUGUGUAAGUAACUAUGCACGUCUUGACGGUACCUAAUCAGAAAGCCACGGCUAACUACGUG
rnacentral:rRNA from 1 species